AAGCAUUUUAAAGGAAGUUUUCGGAUGGAAUUUGGAAUGACUGAGCGGCGGACGGGUGAGUAACGCGUGGGUAACCUGCCUCAUACAGGGGGAUAACAGUUAGAAAUGACUGCUAAUACCGCAUAAGCACACAGUACCGCAUGGUACAGUGUGAAAAACUCCGGUGGUAUGAGAUGGACCCGCGUCUGAUUAGUUUGUUGGCGGGGUAACGGCCCACCAAGGCGACGAUCAGUAGCCGACCUGAGAGGGUGACCGGCCACAUUGGGACUGAGACACGGCCCAAACUCCUACGGGAGGCAGCAGUGGGGAAUAUUGCACAAUGGGGGAAACCCUGAUGCAGCAACGCCGCGUGAGUGAAGAAGUAUUUCGGUAUGUAAAGCUCUAUCAGCAGGGAAGAAAGUGACGGUACCUGACUAAGAAGCCCCGGCUAACUACGUGCCAGCAGCCGCGGUAAUACGUAGGGGGCAAGCGUUAUCCGGAUUUACUGGGUGUAAAGGGAGCGUAGACGGCACAGCAAGUCUGAAGUGAAAUCCCCGGGCUCAACCCGGGAACUGCUUUGGAAACUGUUGGGCUGGAGUGCUGGAGAGGCAAGCGGAAUUCCUAGUGUAGCGGUGAAAUGCGUAGAUAUUAGGAGGAACACCAGUGGCGAAGGCGGCUUGCUGGACAGUAACUGACGUUGAGGCUCGAAAGCG
rnacentral:rRNA from 1 species